rnacentral:tRNA from 1 species
GAUCUUGGAGAAUUCUGACUAUGAAUCAAAAAGUUGUGGGUUCGAAUCCCGCCGGGAUCA